UGGGGAAUCUUGCACAAUGCGCGAAAGCGUGAUGCAGCAACGCCGCGUGGGGGAAGAAGGCCUUCGGGUUGUAAACCCCUUUCAGUUGGGACGAAGCUUCGUCGGUUAAUAGCCGGCCGGAGUGACGGUACCUUCAGAAGAAGCCCCGGCUAACUACGUGCCAGCAGCCGCGGUAAUACGUAGGGGGCAAGCGUUGUCCGGAAUCAUUGGGCGUAAAGCGCGUGUAGGCGGUUCGGUAAGUCUGCUGUGAAAGUCCAGGGCUCAACCCUGGGAUGCCGGUGGAUACUGUCGGGCUAGAGUACGGAAGAGGCGAGUGGAAUUCCCGGUGUAGCGGUGAAAUGCGCAGAUAUCGGGAGGAACACCAAUUGCGAAGGCAGCUCGCUGGGACGUCACUGACGCUGAGACGCGAAAGCGUGGGGAGCAAACA
rnacentral:rRNA from 1 species